rnacentral:rRNA from 1 species
AAAGAUUAGCGGCGAACGGGUGAGUAACGCGUGAGCAACCUGCCUUAGACAAAGGGAUAGCCACUGGAAACGGUGAUUAAUACCAUAUGAAACUAAUAAAUCGCAUGAUUAAGUUAGUUAAAGAAAUUCGGUCUAAGAUGGGCUCGCGUCUGAUUAGCUAGUUGGUGGGAUAAAAGCUCACCAAGGCGACGAUCAGUAGCCGGUCUGAGAGGAUGAACGGCCACACUGGAACUGAGACACGGUCCAG